rnacentral:rRNA from 2 species
UACGUAGGGACCAAGCGUUGUUCGGAUUUACUGGGCGUAAAGGGCGCGUAGGCGGCGCUGUAAGUCACUUGUGAAAUCUCCGGGCUUAACUCGGAACGGUCAAGUGAUACUGCAGUGCUAGAGUGCAGAAAGGGCAAUCGGAAUUCUUGGUGUAGCGGUGAAAUGCGUAGAUAUCAAGAGGAACACCUGAGGCGAAGGCGGGUUGCUAGGCUGACACUGACGCUGACAGCGCGAAAGCCAGGGGAGCAAACGGG